CCUACGGGAGGCUGCAGUGAGGAAUAUUGGUCAAUGGGCGCGAGCCUGAACCAGCCAAGUAGCGUGAAGGAUGACUGCCCUACGGGUUGUAAAUUUCUUUUAUAAAGGAAUAAAGUGAGGCACGUGUUCCUUUUUGUAUGUCCUUUAUGAAUAAGGAACGGCUAACUCCGUGCCAGCAGCCGCGGUAAUACGGAGGAUCCGAGCGUUAUCGGGAUUUAUUGGGUUUAAAGGGAGCGUAGAUGGGUUGUUAAGUCAGUUGUGAAAGUUUGCGGCUCAACAGUAAAAUUGCAAGUGAUACUGGCAGUCUUGAGUACAGUUGAGGUAGGCGGAAUUCGUGGUGUAGCGGUGAAAUGCUUAGAUAUCACGAAGAACACCGAUAGCGAAGGCAGCUUACUAAGCUGCCACUGACAUUGAUGCUCGAAAGUGUAGGUAUCAAACAGGAUUAGAUACCCGGGUAGUC
rnacentral:rRNA from 1 species